UGACCAAGACAAAUGACACUCCGAGGCAGCUGAGUAAGAUUAGGUACUUUAUUGUGCACCAGUGAUUCCAUAUUCUAGGGAUUCUGAUUAGGGGAUUGCAGAAACUGAUAAAGACGCUGCCUAGUCUUCACAGCUCCCACAAGUCACCCACUCCAGUAUUUCUUUAAGGUGAGACUUUGGAUCUCAUCUACAGCCCGAUGAUGUGUGGUGUCGGAUGUUCUGCUUGCUGAUGGCGUUCCUGAUAGCCCUGGAAUCAUCAUCAGCAUUGAGUUGCACCAACAAGCUGCACGUGAACCCCAUUUGCAACACGACGACGGAGACGCUGAUCCCCACCCCUUAACUGCGCCCAGUACUACAACUGCAGCGCCCGGGAUGACAUUCAACCGCUACAUCAUACAAAAGAGCCUACAGGAAUGUGACUACCCACAACUGUACAACCCCGACACCCAGCGAUGUAGGCACUACAGCAUGGUCCAAUGUGGCACCAAAUAUGAACCCUUGGGUAUUGUGAUUAUGCCCAGCACGCGUGUCUUGGAUCGGUCAGCUGUGGGCCACCAUGUUUCUGUCAACAACCCCACCUGCAGAGUUCCUCCCCGACAGGCCCUCAACGUCUACGAAAAUCGCCUCAACACCGCCUUCUUCGUUGUAUGCGUCAAUCAGAGACUGGUCUACACGGGCAAGUGUCCCGAUCUUGGAACGGGGACACCUGUCUUUGACGCAAAACAUCCCGUGCCUACAGGUGCUCGUAAAUCUAAAUUGCUUUGAAAAAGGAAAUUAAAGAUUGUUAACAACG